rnacentral:ncRNA from 1 species
GAAAGCCGUAUGAGGGAAAACCUCACGUACGGUUUGAUGAGGAGGGGCUGAAAAAAAAAAAAAAAACUCAGCCCUUUACUCUAGC